rnacentral:rRNA from 1 species
UACGUAGGUGGCAAGCGUUGUCCGGAAUUACUGGGUGUAAAGCGCGUGUAGGCGGGAGGCCAAGUCUGCUGUGAAAUCGCCCGGCUCAACUGGGCGGGGUCGGUGGAAACUGGUCACCUGGAGGACGGUAGAGGCGAGUGGAAUUCCCGGUGUAGUGGUGAAAUGCGUAGAGAUCGGGAGGAACACCGGUGGCGAAGGCGGUUCUCUGGGCCUUACCUGACGCUGAGGAGCGAAAGCGUGGGGAGCGAACAGG